rnacentral:rRNA from 1 species
CCUACGGGUGGCAGCAGUGAGGAAUAUUGGUCAAUGGGCGCGAGCCUGAACCAGCCAAGUCGCGUGAGGGAAGACGGUCCUAUGGAUUGUAAACCUCUUUUGUCGGGGAGCAAAAGACGCCACGCGUGGCGUUCCGAGAGGACCCGAAGAAAAAGCAUCGGCCAACUCCGUGCCAGCAGCCGCGGGAAUCCGGAGGAUGCGAGCUUUAUCCGGAUUUAUUGGGUGGAAAGGGUGCGCAGGCGGAAGAUCAAGUCAGCGGUACAAUUGAGCGGCUCAACCUCUUCGAGCCGUUGAAACUGGUUUUCUUGCGUGAGUGAGACGUAUGCGGAAUGCGUGGUGUAGCGGU